GCUAGCUGUGACGUUACUGACAGAAGAAGCACCGGCUAACUCCGUGCCAGCAGCCGCGGUUAUACGGAGGGUGCGAGCGUUAAUCGGAAUUACUGGGCGUAAAGCGUACGCAGGCGGUUUGUUAAGCGAGAUGUGAUAAGCCCCGGGCUCURACCUGGGAACUGCAUUUCGAACUGGCAAACUAGAGUGUGAUAGAGGGUGGUAGAAUUUCAGGUGUAGCGGUGAAAUGCGUAGAGAUCUGAAGGAAUACCGAUGGCGAAGGCAGCCACCUGGGUCAACACUGACGCUCAUGUACGAAAGCGUGGGGAGCAAACAGGAUUAGAUACCCUGGUAGUCCACGCCGUAAACGAUGUCUACUAGAAGCUCGGAACCUCGGUUCUGUUUUUCAAAGCUAACGCAUUAAGUAGACCGCCUGGGGAGUACGGCCGCAAGGUUAAAACUCAAAUGAAUUGACGGGGGCCCGCACAAGCGGUGGAGCAUGUGGUUUAAUUCGAUGCAACGCGAAGAACCUUACCUACACUUGACAUACAGAGAACUUACC
rnacentral:rRNA from 1 species